rnacentral:tRNA from 1 species
GGCUUUCUUACUUUUAAAGGAUAGAAGCAAUCCAUUGGUCUUAGGAACCAAAAA